rnacentral:lncRNA from 1 species
UGGCACUGAAGUUGUCACAGUACAGUAGGACAGGACCAUCAAUAGAAGAUGUAACUCCCAGUUUGGUGAUGAAUUUUCACAACUACAUCAUCUCCUUUGCAGCAUCCGAUGCAGCAUUGUAUUCCACUUCCACACAGAAUUGGCCACAGUAUAUUGCAUGAAACUCUUCCAGCAAAUAGCUCCACCAUUCCAAGUAAAUACAUAGCCUGACAUGC